ACUGUGGGGGAGGGAAAAGUCUGAUCCACCAGGAUCACGUCCCCCAAAGGAGGCCAGAUUCAGGAGGCUGGGUCCUGCUUACCUGCCGCCAGGGGGGCUGUGUUCUCACUUCACUCAGUCCUUGUGGUGCAACUAAACCCAAGCCAAGCAGGGGUGGCCGAAGCUGUCCCAAGAUGAGUGAGGUAGAACCCUGGACACCGUGGACAUUGCUGUGGUUGUGGAGAAGAACCUGAACCAAGCCCUUCUGGGUCUUCAUACCCUGGUUCUGCCUGUGCAGACCCCUGUCUCUGUGACGUCCUGGAGAAUCACUUCACAGAUGAGGAGGUGAAACUCAGCAAGAAUUUGGGGAUCCACCUGACAGACUGGCUGCCGUUGGGCCGUUUAAACAGUGCUGGAGUGAUCCAUCCCUUAAAGGUUUGGUGGAACCUGAGGGGCCAACCUCAGCCUGCAGCUGGCACCUGAAAAGAAGGCCUCAGUGACUCAGAUGAUUGAUCCCAGCAGGGCAGUUUCCGUGGAGCCGACCAUAAGCCUCAGAGAUGCAGACUCCCACGUCCUUGGGGUGGGACUCUCCCUCCCUCCAUCCUGGAUCUUCUUGCUGGUCGAGCCUGUAAGAAUUCCACCUGGAGAGGUCACAGCGGAGCUGGUGGGCAGACAGGACCCAGGGAGAGAUGGGCUGGAUUGAGAGGGGAGAAUUUCUUCAGGCGAGGUUCUGUGACAGGGUGGCUGCGAGGUCAGGCUGGGCUCUGGUUACCCCUUGCCUCUCCUCCAUCUCUCCCAGAGCCCGCCAGAGAGGAGGAUCACAUGUCGGAGUGUAUGUGUCUGUUGUCUGUUUGGGCAGCUGGGUCUCCCCCCGCCCCAGCCUCCGCCGCAGCUCUCUGCUGUUCUGUCCGUGGGGGUCCAGGCGGCCGUGGUACUUCUGCCCACCCUGGUUGCCCUCCGCUGCAGCACCUUGUGUCCCGCGACCAGUAGCCGACCGCCAGGCUCCAGUCUGUGUCUGCCAAGGACGCAUCUUCCCAACACUUCCCCGUGACAACCUCAGGUGGAAGCAAUUUCACCGUCUUGUAACUCACCGGGUCAUUAUAAUUAGUAUCCCGGCGCCCAGGGCGAGGGCGGAAGAAAGGAAAGAAAAGACUCGAUCCAGCCAGGCGAAGAGCAGCAGCCUCUGGGGGCUGGGGCGGCCUUUCCUCCUGCUCCAGCUCGUAACUCAGAUUUUCUCAGGACUGAUUCCAUCACGUCCCUCCCCUCCGUGUGUGCAAGGUGGGAGGUGGUCGAGGAGUCAGGCACUGCUCCGCUGGGCCCUGGGCAUACACAGCGGGAGUCUCUGACCUGAGUGAGGCUCCCCUGCCCCCUGAGAGCCCACAUCUGAGGCUGGGGUCCACGGUGAGGGCCCUGCAGGGAGAGAUCAGUACCUCCCACAUCCCCGUGGACCCUCCCUGCCUCUGGGUCCCUGCAGCCCCAGAGCCAGAGCCCAUCAAGAGCUGGUGAUGGUGACCAUGGGCACAGCUGGGUUCCACCCCAGGCACAGCUAGGAUAGGUAUGACUCUGAGAGAAGCAGCCAGGUGGGGGAACAGGACGUGUCAGGGAGCAAGAUUUCCCAUCAGGGGACACGGGUUCGAUCCCCGGUCGGGGAACUAGGAUCCCACAUCCGGCGAGACAGCUAAGCCCGUGUGCUAGCACUACCGAGUCCUCACCCUCCAGAGCCUGCCAGCCGCAACUAGCGAGGCCAUGCAUCACGAUGAAAGGUCCUGCUUGACACAACGAAGACCCAAGGCCGCCAAAGAAGCACAUGCAUGCAUAA
ensembl:lncRNA